ACGGUCGGCUGGUCGGUAACAGA
rnacentral:siRNA from 1 species